rnacentral:rRNA from 1 species
AGGCAUGCAAGUCGAACGAAUGCCAUUUGGGAAACUGGAUGGCGGAAGUGGCGAAAGGGGCAGUAAUACAUGGGUAACCUACCCUGGGGAUGGGCAUAGCCGGUCUAACGGCCGGGUAAUUCCCAGAGAUUCGGCGAGGCGGCAUCGUCUUGCCGGGAAAUGAAUUUCGCCUCGGGAGGGGCCCAUGUCGUAUUAACUAGUUGGCGGGGUAACGGCCCACCAAGGUUAAGAUGCGUAGCGGGUGUGAGAGCACGACCCGCGCCACUGGCACUGAGACACUGGCCAGACACCUACGGGUGGCUGCAGUCGAGGAUCUUCGUCAAUGGGCGAAAGCCUGAACGAGCGAUGCCGCGUGAGCGAUGAAGGCCUUCGGGUUGUAAAGCUCAAAAGAGGUGAGAAAGGGAAACUUGAUCAAACCUCAGUAAGCUCGGGCUAAGUUCGUGCCAGCAGCCGCGGUAAGACGAACCGAGCGAACGUUGUUCGGAAUCACUGGGCUUAAAGGGCGCGUAGGCGGAUUUGCAAGUCCGUGGUGAAAUCCCACAGCUCAACUGUGGAACUGCCUCGGAUACUGUGAGUCUCGAGGGUGGUAGGGGUAUGCGGAACUAUCGGUGGAGCGGUGAAAUGCGUUGAUAUCGAUAGGAACUCCGGUGGCGAAGGCGGCAUACUGGACCACUUCUGACGCUGAGGCGCGAAAGCCAGGGGAGCAAACGGGAUUAGAUACCCCGGUAGUCCUGGCCCUAAACGAUGGGUACUAGCUAGUAGGGUUCACAUGGCUUUACUGGCGAAGCAAAAGUGCUAAGUACCCCGCCUGGGGAGUAUGGUCGCAAAGCUGAAACUCAAAU